rnacentral:rRNA from 1 species
AGUGAACGCUGGCGGUAGGCCUAACACAUGCAAGUCGAACGGCAGCACAGUAAGAGCUUGCUCUUACGGGUGGCGAGUGGCGGACGGGUGAGGAAUACAUCGGAAUCUACUUUUUCGUGGGGGAUAACGUAGGGAAACUUACGCUAAUACCGCAUACGACCUACGGGUGAAAGCAGGGGAUCUUCGGACCUUGCGCGAUUGAAUGAGCCGAUGUCGGAUUAGCUAGUUGGCGGGGUAAAGGCCCACCAAGGCGACGAUCCGUAGCUGGUCUGAGAGGAUGAUCUGCCACACUGGAACUGAGACACGGUCCAGACUCCUACGGGAGGCAGCAGUGGGGAAUAUUGGACAAUGGGCGCAAGCCUGAUCCAGCCAUACCGCGUGGGUGAAGAAGGCCUUCGGGUUGUAAAGCCCUUUUGUUGGGAAAGAAAAGCAGCAGGUUAAUACCCCGCUGUUCUGACGGUACCCAAAGAAUAAGCACCGGCUAACUUCGU